rnacentral:rRNA from 1 species
CCCUUAGAUGUUCUGGGCUGCACACGUGCUACACUGGCAGGUUCAGCGAGCUUCAUGCCCUGAUCUGAAAGGAAUGGGAAAUCUUUUCAAAACCUGCCGUGCUUGGGAUAGAUGUUUGCAAUUAUUCAUCUUCAACGAGGAUUGCCUUGUAAGCGCACGUCAUCAGCGUGCAUUAAAUACGACCCUGUAUUCUGUACACACCGCCCGUCGCUCCUACCGAUUGAAGUUUUCGGUGAGUUGACAGGAGGAUUUUUUUGAAACUGGUUCGCCAGUGGAUUUUAGAUCCAAAUGCCAACGAAUCGAUGGCUUUAGAGGAAGGAGAAGUCGUAACA